ACGCUCGACACCUACGCGAGGCAGCAGUGGGGGAUAUUGCACAAUGGGGGAAACCCUGAUGCAGCGACGCCGCGUGAAGGAAGAAGGCCUUCGGUUGUAAACUUCUGUCGUACGGGACGAUAGUGACGGUACCGUACAAGAAAGCCACGGCUAACUACGUGCCAGCAGCCGCGGUAAUCUGAGCGGGCUGGCAAGGC
rnacentral:rRNA from 1 species